CGUUCUCAGAUCAGGCGAGAGUACCCGCUGAACUUAAGCAUAUCACUAAGCGGAGGAUAAGAAACUAACCAGGAUUCCCCUAGUAACGGCGAGUGAAGAGGGAAGAGCUCAAGCUGAAAAUCCUCGGAAUUGUGGUUUAGAGGUGCAGACUCGUGCAGAGCCAGGUAUAAAUCCGUUCAUGGAACUGGGUGCCAGAGAGGGUUAGAGCCCCGUCUUUGACUUGGUGGGCUGCACGUGGCGAGGAUGCUCCUGAGAGUCGGCUUGCUUGGGAAUGCAGGUCAAAGAGGGUGGUAAACUUCAUCUAAAGCUAAAUAUUGGCGAGAGACCGAUAGCGAACAAGUACUGUGAAGGAAAGAUGGAAAGAACUUUGAAAAGAGAGUGAAAAAGGGCUUGAAAUUGUUAAGAGGAGAAGUGAUUGGGGCAUAUCAUACGCUGCAGGGAGACGGGUUGGGAUGGAUCCUGGCCAUGAAUUUCUGUGGGGUUGGCCAGCAUCAGUUGGGUGCUGGGGAGAAGGCCCGCAUCGUGAAACCUAGUGAUCGGUGGGGGAGAAACCCAGGACUGGACUGAGGCAGAGAGAGCGCGCCUAGCGUCCGGCUCGAGCCCUGGUGCAGUGGGGCGCUGCACUCUUUGAGUGUGGUCUGCGCUGCAUUUGAUGCGAAGAGUGCGGGGACGGCGUUCUGAAGAUGCUGGCACAAAUGGCUUCAAUCAGCCCGUCUUGAAACACGGACCAAGGAGUCUAACACAUAUGCGAGUGGUAAGGUGGCAAACCUUGGACGCGGAAUGAAAGUAAAUGGAGGUGGGAUUCGCAAGAUGCACCAUCGACCGACCAGGAUCAUCAGUGAAAGGUUUGAGUAAGAGCAUAUUUGUUGGGACCCGAAAGAUGGUGAACUAUGCCUGAAUAGGGUGAAGCC
rnacentral:rRNA from 1 species